UGAUGACUGGAGAGACAUUUCAAGCCAAAAUCAAAAAAUAUAUAUAUAGUUAGUAAUUGACCUCAUUUCAAUGGGAAUUUGACCGAUCAAAAGGACUACAAUAACAUACCUUCUUUUUGGUCUUGCCUUCAUCAUCCUCCUCAUCCUCCUCGUCAUCUUCAUCCUCAUCUUCGUCAUCAUCUCCCUCGUCGUCUUCAUCCUCAUCAAUAUCAUCAUCAUCUUCAUCAUCAUCCAACUCAAUCUCUUCCUCCUGAAUAGCUUCCCCAGUAAACCAUGAAACAGCAUGGGGGAUAAUCUUGUCUCUAAUUGUUGAUCUACACAAAGCAAUAGAACUAGGCAAUCAAUUACAAAUGCACUACAGCAAUUCAAUUUAAAAGAUGAGACAUGUAAGAGCAACAUCAAGAGUACCCACCCAAUAUCGUAAUCUUGUUCCAUUUGAUUUUGAAGCUCCUCAGCCUGUUAAAGAAACAGAAAUAAUGUGAAACAGAGAAUAAAACAAAUGAUUAUCAUCAAUUAAUGCUACAAAUGCCAUGAUAUCAAUCUUACAGUAUCUUCAUCAAUGUCUUCAUCAUCUUCAGGGACUUGAGGUGGAUUGAAAAAGUUGAAAAAACUUUCACAUUCUUCAGUUUUAGUAAUUGGCUUAGCAUUCUUUGAUCCCUUCUUUGGCUUCUUCUUAAGGAGCUUCUGUGUCAAGCAUUUCCCUGGAUACCAUUCAAUCUCCGUCCUACAAAACAUCAGCCGCAAGAAAAAUUUAGAUCAUGCAAAGUAUAGUGAUAUGUAUCUCAACAUAAGUGCAAGGAAAGAAACACAAGUUACCCUAUAGCUUUCUCAAGAAUAGGCUCAUCUUCAUCAAUCAUGUGAUAGGUCUUUGUCAAGACAGUGUUCUUGAAGUAUGGAUUGGGGUCAAAGUAGAAUUCAAGCUUGAAUCCCUUUGGAUCAUCAAUCCUAAACCACUUAAUGUCUUUGAGAAACUUGAGAGCUCCUUCAUCGCGCUCAGUAAUCUAAUUUCAACAAAACAAGGAAAAUAUUUUAAGAACUCAAAUACCAUGGUAGUACCAAAUCAAACUAAAAUAGCCUUAAACUUACUUCCUCAGAUAGGACAUCAUUAUUUUUCAUUGCAGUAAGCCAGAAGUCCGGCACUCCUUUCUCUGCAUUAUGCAUAUAAAAAAUCAAACACAAAUCCACAACAGCCUUAGAGAAAGGUCCUAACUCCUAUGUUGAUAUUCAAAGGGUACCUUCAGUGGCUUUAUCCUCUUCCUGGUCCAUUGCAACUUCAUUUGGGGCCCCUUCAACAACACCAUUGACAAUCUCAUAUCUCUGCAAAUAAAAUUACAUGAAUCAAUCUUCAAAAUAAUUAGGGAAAAAACAAAAAUGUGAAAACCCAAAGCACAACAAUGCCCUCACACAGGAAUAGUUAUGGCACCAUUUCAGAUACCUAGCACCAAGAGCAAAGGAUAACCUCUAUGUGGGAUAAACAAGAAGAAACCCAAACAAUUGUUGGUAAAGAGCAAAAGAGCUACGUUUCCCUUUUCCAAGCCUUUUUUAAAAAAAAAACCUUCAAAGAUCCCAUAAAAAGAAACUCUCCCAUUGUUGCAUGGGCUGGAACAUCCUUAAUUACCAAGGAAAUCUAUUCACCUUUCUAUGCAAAUGCAGACAUAUUCAUUAGAGAAGAUGGUAUGAUACCUUGGUGUACAUAGGCUGAUACAAUUUUUGAUAUUUGGCUUCCAGUGCUGCUCUCUCCUCAAAAAAUUUUGCCUCCAAUUCAUCAUGUUCACUCUGCAAAUCAUAAAAGAAUUGUUAACCGCAUGCUUCCUUGUCAAGGUUUUGUGCAAAUUAGAAAAAGUAAUAAACCAUGAAGAGCAAAAUACACCCAGAUACAUACAAGAAAACAAAAGUUGAAGUUCACAGCAUAAUAAAUGGAAUAUAAGGCACUGGACAGAUGCACUACAAUUAAUUACAGCAAUGGAAUUAAGGCACUGGGCAGUGCCAAGUCAAGAAAUAUCAGAACAUAUAAAGCAAGCCAUUAGCGGGAACUGCCAGCCAUACUCAAGAGUUUUCUGUUUUAAGAUACCCGUUGUAAACAAGAUAAUUAUAAACCAUUUUCUACCGUCUCCAGUGAGCAGGAAAAUCCCCAAGAUCAGCAAGCCAAAGUUUAGCAUUUGCAAACAGAACAUAUAACAAAAAAAGAAUUUUCAACAAUGGUCCUCAGUUGGCACUAUUUAGAACUCAAAAUACUAAAAACUUGCACCGGAAUUUAUCAUGACAAUAACACACAUAAUGAACAUCAAAAUACGUGCCUGGAUCUCUCUGAGAACCUCAACACGCUUCCUGACUGCUGGAGUCAGUUUCUCGAGAACAUCAGAGUGCUGCCCAGCAAGGUUCUGAAGUUUAUUCUGCACAACAAAAAAUGAUUCUUCCAUUAAACAAUCAAAAAACCAAAACAUCUAUACAGUAACACAAAUUGCUUACCUUCAGAACACCCACGAGGUCAGCUCGAGCCCCUUCAUCAAGAGCUACACAGAGAACAAACAAAACAACGUGUCAGAUAGUAAAUAAAAAUUGGAUAAAUUACUAAAAUAAUUAGGGUUUUCUUGGAGAUAAGAAGUCACAGGCGCGGAGAUCUGUAACGUUGAAGUUAUCUUUGUCGGCGCUCAUUGUCGGCGGAGGAAGAAGCGACGGCGUUUUAGAGAGAGCGAGGGGAUAGGGUGCUAAAACCCUAGGCGAACAAAAAGGAAUUGGUGAAAAACAAGGGAAACGAGUUUCGACUUUGAUGAGUUAAGAGAGGCGUCAGAAGAAAACGUGGCCUCGCUUAAAUCCUCUCCCUCGCCCUAAAAACCUAACACUUGCUCUCUUUUAGUACUUAAGGCGGUACCUGUUCUGUCUUUUUACUAUUUUUUUAUUAAAUUUUUUUCCAGGGCCGUGUUCCUGUUGUAAUUUUUUUCGUGAGCUUGGGAUUUAAACUGUUUUUUUUUUUUAAAAAAAAAAAUUUACUAAACACCAAUUAUUAUUUAAAGUUUUACAAUAGUUCAUAGGAGGAUCUUAACAAUCAGUUUUAAACAAAAUUGUAGCAUAAAUGAAAAAUCAAAGAUGGAAAAAAAAAUUCAAAUAUAAAGGCUCAACUCAAAUGGACUGAAUUACAUACAUAAGGUAAUAUUUUUUUAUAUGUUUGCUGUAGUACCAAAUUGGCCUAAAUUGUGUCUGAUAAAAAUAUUUGACUUUGGAAAAUAUAAUACAGAAAUAAGCUAAUAAAGAUUACUUAAUUUGAAAAACCCUAAGAUAAUAUAUGGAAAGUCUAAAAGUACUCUUUAAAAAAAUAAUUUAAAUUAACUAGGGGAACAUUGUUCACACGUAUUUGAGUUAUCGAAUUUGGGAAAACCCACAAUCAUUUUUUUUAUGUCACAGUAAAUAAAAGAAUAAAAAAUAAUCAUAUCUUGCUAUAAUAAAAGCAAGCGUUUCUUGCAUAAGUUAAUAUUACAAUGAUAGUGAUAUACACAAAGGGUGCGUUUGACAUUCUGUAUUACAUUAUAUUAAUGUAGGUUACUGUAUUAUAUUAUAUUGCAUUAGUACUAUAUCAUAACAAUAUUAUACAACAUUUGAUGUUACAUUAUAUUGUAUCAAUUUUUAAUUAUAUUAAAUUUGGUGUUGUAUUGUACUGUGCUAAUUUUUUUGAUGAUUAAUUUAAGUUAUAUAUUUAGAAAAUAAUAGUACUUAUAAAAUACUAAAUAUAAAAGUCUUAAAUUUUAGAAAGUUACCAUCAUUUUUUUAGUAUAAAUGUUGAAAGAAUUCAUAAUUUCGCAUAAAGAUUGAAGCUUAUGACCUUAAAUUUUUUACAGUAAAACAUUUUUUUUCCAGCAAUUUCUAAAUAUAUAACCUAUGAAAUAAAGAUCAAAACAAAUAGUUCAAUCAAACAACCUCUAAAUAAUAUCAUAAAAUAAAUAAAUAGUUAAAACAUACAAGAUUAGUUCAAAAGUCAUCUUUGGAUGAUUGAAUAAAAGUUUAUAUAUAUUACAAGUUAAUCACAAAAUAAUAAAGUGAUACAAUAGUUGUAACAUAAUUACCAACAAAGUAGAUUGUAUUAAAUAAUCCAAGUACACACACCCGUAUGCCAAUUGGAAAUUAGUAUUUUGAAAUACCAACAAAACUCCAACAAGUAUUACUGUAUAAUAUCGUUGUUAAGUUAGAAAUUCAUACUCCCUUAUCAAACUUCACCUUAGAAAUACAUACUCCCUUAUCAAACACCACCUCUCCUUUCAUGCUCAUGCAAAAGCAUCCAAACAUCUGUCAACUUAUGGUCACGAUCAUUUCAUUAUGCCUUGAAAGCCCUUAUAUUUGAAGGUUUCUUUACCAUUAAAUGUAAGGCCAUAAGCUCAUCAUCCAUAGACAGUCCCAUUGAAGUAAUCUCUUCGACAAUGUAAUUAUGAUCUUCACUAUUUCCAUACAUAUUCUGAGACAUAUUAGUGUUGGCUUGGUGAAAUGCUGAAACUAAUUUGUUAAUACUAACAACAAUAUAAUCAUCUAAUUUAGGCUUCGUCCUAUGUGAUGGUUGUACAUGUGAUCAAGUAAUGUAUUGAGAAUUUGAAGGAGGGGUAGCAGACAUCAGAGAACCUUUAUCAUCAAUCGCAUUGUCAUCAUCAUGAGUUUCUUCUUGAAGAGCUGCAUUAACCAUAUCAAUUGGAGUUUUUGCUGGACUUCUAGUUACGUGGACUUUUCCAAAUAUAUUUACUAGCCUCUCAUAAUAUGGAAAUGACUUGUUCCUCUAAUUGCUUGUUUAUUUAUGGGACUACAUUAUUAAAACAAGAUAAUUAAAUGAACUCUAUUAUAUUUAUAAGAAACAAAUUAUAUAUAACCAUGCAACCAUGAAGAUAUAACUAAUGACAUAAAAAGAAAAUUAUUUUCCUUAUUUUAAAUUCAAAAUACUAACCUCUACAUAUGAUUUCCAUACUUUUUCACUAUCAAUCUCCACACAUUUUCUCACAUGAUUCCAUCUAAAACUGCUAGUAUUCAACAUAUUAAAUCGCAGCCCAUACUUCCAUAUCCUUAUCUUAGAGCCAAUAUGCAGGGAAGCCUACAAACCACAUUUUAGUAGUAGUUUUUUAAAUUCAUUUUGAAUAUAUUUGUCACUUCUAGAUUUUAAGGUACCAUUAUCAGCUCGAGUACCAUUUGCAAUUACUGCAUCUAGAAUGUUUAACAUUGUUUCUUCUUCAUCUUUUGUCCAUGCUCAUCUUAAGCUUGUUUUAUUUCCAGUAGUAUGACUUAAACUUUCACUCUCCAUUCCUACAAAAUGAAUAUUAUAAUAAUUUCUUAAACAAUUAAUUGAAAUAUUACACUAAGUUAAGCUAACAUAAAUAACACUUGAUAAAUUCCUAAUGAGAUUUAUAUAUUAACAAAAGGUUAUAACCUUAGAUACCUUUGUAAGGACAUCAUUAUAUUAGCAAAAGUACAACUUUAGAUACGUUCCUAAGUUUAUCGAUAUAAUAGGAAAAGUACAAUCUUAGAUACAUCCUUAAGGACAACGAUAUAUUAUGAAAAAUACAACCUUAAGACACAUUGUUGAGGACAUCGAUAUAUUAGGAAAAAUACAACCUUAGACACAUUCUUGAGGACAUCGAUAUAUUAGGAAAAAUAUAGCCUUAAAUACUUUCCUAUUGACAUCCAUAUAUAAACAAAAGUAUAACCUUAGAUACUUUCCUAAUGACAUCUAUAUAUUAAUAAAAGUAUAGCCUUAGAUAAAUCCUAAUUUCCAAGCCUAUUGUUAUACAAAGCGGUAUCUAAAUUAUUCCUCCAACUCGUCCAUUGAUCUGAACCUGUAAGACUACUUUAUGUUAUUAAUACUAUCUACUUCAUUAUUAGAUAUGUUAAGUAAUUUAUGCUCCAUUAGAUCCACAUACAUUUCCCCUAUGAUUAGAUUAUGUAGUAAACAACAUGCAGUAAUAAUGUGACAUUGGUUUUCAUUAGAUAAAAUGAACUUUGAAGAAUAGGCUAUCACAUUUGAGCAAUCCAAAUCACUACUUAGUUACAUUUCUUACUAAAGAAUGUUUCAUGUUAAAGAACUAUUCUGUUAACAUAAAUAUUUCUUUAUUGAUUUUGAUGAUAACAAACUUGAUUAAGAUUUAUUAAUCAUUUAAAAGUUCAAAAUAGUUUUUAUAUAUUUAAAUAAUCAUUCUCAUUUUAUAAAGGCGUUAUAUUCUAUGAAAAUGUUUUUGGUUAUUCUCAUGUUAAUGGUUUCAAAUUGAAAAAGCUUUGAGAUUUUUUAUGAUAACAAGUAUUGCUUAAAAUCCUGAAAAUGGACUUAAUUGACAAGUUUUAUAAAGUUUUUGGCCAUAGUAUAAAUUUAUAAAGUUUUGGGGUCAAACGAGAAUUUUGUAAAAAAAGUACACUGUAGCAGUUACUGUAGAAAACGACGAUCCGAAAUCUUGAUAAUGGCUCACCGACAUCGAACAGAAUUGAAGAUUAGUUUCUGGACAGUAAUGGCAAACCGACAUCUUGAUAACGGCUCGCCGACAUCGAACAGAAUUGAAGAUUAGUCUCUGGACACUAACGACGAUCCGACAUCUAGAUAACGGUGAUCCGACAAUUUAAAAAUUCAGUCCAACGGUCAUAUUGACUAGUCAAAUGGCGAUCCGACAUCUAGUUAACGGCGAUCUGACAAUGUGCAGAAAGUCAAUAACGGCUAGUUUUCAGCUCCAACUAUAAAUAAGCUCAUUCAAAUUCAAACAAGAUUGUUCACAACACGACUAUUGAGCUUAUAUUUGAGAAUACAAUCUUCAUAGAGCUUUAAAAACACAUUCUUACUUCAUCUAUUCAUAUAUUGGGCCUUGAUUUGUAAUCUUAAAUAUUGUGUGAGAGAAAAAUAAUUUUUAUUCUUUUACUUUGAGUGAUUGUAAGUGUUGGGAUAUACUUCUGUUAAGAGAUUGGGGAUAAUCUCUUGUUGUAAAGGUUCAUUGAAACCUUGGAAGUCAAGUGUAAGCAUUUGAAGUCUUGGAGGCUUGCUUAGUGAAAUCUUCAAGCUUGGAAAGCUUGGAGGCGUGGACGUAGGCGAGGUUGGCCAAACCAUGUAAAAAUCUUCGAGUUUGAAUCUCUCUUCCCUUAUCUUUUUAUAUUGUAAUUGAUUUAAUUGUUAUUCCAUUAAAUUCAUUUUAGAUUUGCAUGAUAAUUUGUUUUAGAAUCAAAUAAUUUUUAGAAUCCCAAUUCACCCCCCUCAUGGGUUGCAUACUUGUAUUUCAUAUUCUUUAUUCGAAGGAGGACACCUAUCUUUCUAUUCUGAUAAAGGGAAAUUAUCAUUCAUAUACCCUAUAUUUGCUCUGUUAUAAAAAAUACUACAACACUUUGAGGGUGUAUCAAUCGUCCACCAUUAGUUGACAAAAUAUAUCAGCCGACCACCAAACCGUUAGUUGCCGUUUGAAAGUUAAUGGAGUUACAGUGAAUUGACGAUUUUACCCUUGAAAAUUAUCACUUGUAUACCCUUAAAUUCUCUUUUUAUCACUUGUAUACCCUUAAAUUAUCACUUAUAUCAUAUGAAAAGACCAAAUUACCCUUUUGACGUUAUCAUACUUAAACGGCAACUAACGGUUUGGUGGUCAGCUGAUACAUUUUGUCAACUUAAGGUGGGCGAUUGAUACACUCUCGAAGUGUUGUAAUAUUUUUGAUAAUAAAGUAAACUAAGGGUAUACAAAUGAUAAUUUCCCUUUGAUAAAUGAUAUCUUGUUCCCUUAUACAUUGUAAGAAAUCCUUUAGCAUUUGUGUAUUCUUCAUCCGCAAGAUAGUAGUAACCUAUUUAUUUCACAUAAGUAUUAGUAUAAUUUUUAGUUUGAAUAUGCAAUUUGAUUAAAUUAAAUUUUUGGAAUAAGUAAUACCUAUAUGAACUUUUAAAUCAGUGACUUAUUUAAUGCAUCGAAAGUAUUCUUAAGUAAGAUGCAGAGCUUUCUCAUCCAGACAUCACGAAGAUGAAUUUCAAUUCUCGUGUGCACAUACCCCUAAAACAUUUGUAGCAAUCUCAUCAUUGUAUGAUAUCUUGGCUUGUCUUUUUCUGGCACAUGAACUUUAAUGUAAAUUUCACCUAAUGCCCAAACAAUUCUACAUCAUAAAGCGAAUGAAAAAUUUAUUAACAUUAAACUAUUAGUUAUAGUCAAAGAUAAUGUACUGUAAACCACUUCCCCUCUCAUCAGUGCAAUUCUCUGGUAUAGGUUGCCCUUAAUCAUCUAAUCAUAAUAUUUCAUUUAUCAUUGCAUUGAAGUAUUUACUAACAAUCUUUCAGAUCCGAAAAAACCUACUACAAUUGUGCGAUUCUUGAUAUGAUAAGACAAAGUAUAAAGGAAUUGCAAAUUUGCUCUUCAAUCGUCACUAAACCAUUAGCCUUUAAUCCCCUAUUCAAUCGAAGUAGCUUAGAUAGUAGGCUAAAUAUCCUUCCAUCCAUUCCUAAUUGAUUCACGCAUUGCAUGUCACUAUUGCCAAUAACGCUUUAUAAGUAUUAUAAUCAAGUGCCAUGGUUUUGGAAUAUACAAUUAUGCAUCAUUUUUCUUUGAUUAUGCUUUCAAAUCAACAUCAUUAACCAAUAUAUAUAUAUAUAUAUAUAUAUACACACAUUAACUCAAUUUCAUUUGCCACAUGACCCCAAAAAAAAAAAGAAAAUCAACUAGUAGCCCAUUGAUAAAUUUUCAUAAAAUUAAAUGAUAGCACACUUCUUUUUGCUUUGUUAAAUAUUUUUUUAUCAUUAUUAUAAAAAUGUAAACUAAGUUGAACAAAAUCAAAUUUCAAUUUUGAUGCAAAGUUUAACCAAACAAAUAAACGAAAAAAAUAAAAGAAAAGAACAUGGUCGAAAAUGCAGAUUGGGGAUUGAUUCAAGCUUAAUUUAUCAAGCAUUUAACUUAUUUUCUUCUUCUCAUAGUCUCAAUAAGCCCUUGAAGCACGAGCUUUGACUCAAUUUGUUUUGUAAUUAAACUACAUCAACCAUGCAAAAAGUAUUAAUAUAUAGGUCAUAAAUAUUACAAUAAAUGACCAAAAUAAGAGUUCAAAACCCAAAAUUUCUAAUCUAUUAGUAAAAAAGAUUCUAAGUAUCAAAUGCAGGUAAUCAAUUAAUAAUAAUUGAAAAUCUCCGUAAAAAACACCUUUUUCUUGAGGCACUUUUACCAGAAUUGGCAUACCCAAAAUAUUAUUUUAAUAAUAAAAUUCUCUUAAUUGAAAUAAGAGAAACAAAAUAAAUGGCAGCUAUAUUCCACUUCUAAAAAAAAUAAAAAAUUCUGAAAGUAAUAGUAAAAUUAGUAAAAAUAUCUUAAAAUCACAAAAACAACCAAGAAAGUUUUUGGCUCAAAUAUGAGGCAAAAUGGCUAAAGCAUUUUUAGUUCUCGUUUGUCUUAUUGCAAGCCUCAAAAUGGCAUGUUACAUGGCCCAAAGGACACCUAUAGCUCGAGUUAUGACCUUGAGAAAGUACCCUCCUAAUCCUAUACACUCAUUUUACAUCAAUAACUACGUUGAGCAAUUUGAGUACCUUUUUCAUCAUUUCUCUAUCUUUACUCAAUUAAGGUUUAAUUAAUGAAAUGCCCCAUAUUGAUUUUUAAAAUCUAAUUCAAGUUAUGGUUCAAAUAUAUUUAUUGGGAACAAUCAGUAAUAUUAUGUGGCCUUUGUAAAAGGCUAAACAAGCCUACACCUCUAUAUAUCUUUACUAGACAUUAGGAAUAUAUCCGAAACAUAAGCCUUCCCAAUCAAACCAGGGUAUUGCCUUUUCAAUAGUCUUUGAUUAAUAUAAUUCCUUAAGCAUCAUAUAACAAGACUGGUAAAAAUUUAACCUAUAUAACACAUUAUGCCUAAAGUAAUUAACUUUCACACAUCCUCUUUAUAAAGUAGAUACUUGAUCAAAACAAAAUCACAAAGAGGAAAAUAUAACCAUGCAUAUGAUUUACACGUAUAUAAAUAUGCUUGACAUUAGUUUCUGUAUUGACAUGGGUAAAAACCAAGGCAAUAAAUUAAGAAAAUGACAUAUGAAUCAUAUUUCUAGGUAGGUGUUAUAGCAUUUUAUCAACAUGGAGCUUUAUAAAAUGAAUGAAAAGGUUGUACUUUUUUAUAUCUCCAUUAAAAGAUCAUUUUCAAAUCUAUUGAUGUAAAAAAUGAAAUGAACUAAAAAUAUUACUACUUCAAAAUAAAAGCAUAGGUCAACCAAGAAACCGAAGAGUACAUUCAUUCAAUUUUUUGUCAAGCUCAUUAUAGAGGACUAGAAAUGUUAUUCUCUUCUAUAAGACCAAACAAUGUACCUAGCAAGCAUAUGAAAACAACAUUUUGCAGACUAGAGCUAUACACAUAUGCCUUGACUGUGAAUACAUUUAUUUCUUAUAGAAACCUUCUUAUGAACUGGCAAGUGCCUCUUCUUUAUCAUACUUAAAUUAGUUUAAAUUGAAACAAGUCAUAACUUAGUCCUACUUAGAACUAAUUCUAAAUUUGAAAGAAUUUAAGGAAAGAACUAACAAUAUUCACCAUGCAUAUUGCAUUUAUGUUUUUGUUUGAUGAAUAAACAAGAUUCCAACUUCGACAGUUUACCUCCAGCUAAGCUUCAAUAAAGCACAAUCAUGUGACUGCUCUGAGUGCACUUGCAACCCUAAUAAGGGAGAAUCAAUGAACCACUCUUCAACAACAUAACUAGUUUCUAUCUUUAGAACAUGAAGAGACCAUUUAUGACUCUUUCUAUGAUCAACAUUCAAAUAAUUAUCAACUCUCCAAAGUAUUAAAAAACUUUCCAAUUAUGCAAUGAAGCAAAGAAAAAUCAUAACAUAUCCAUAAAAAAAGCAACCAACUUUCCAUUUUCAGCUAGUUUACAUGAAUCCAAGCUAAUAAUCACUAAAUCUGGAUUAUCUUUAAACCUAAAUAAUGAAUCAACCAAUGUUAAAAUCUCAAAUUUUUUUAAGAGAUAAAAAAUUAAACUUUAAAUGCUCAAUUACAUUUGCCAUGAAUUUUUGUUAGAUAGAUUAUAAUAGAGAAACAUAAUUAAGUUGGAAGUACACAAAAUACCUAAUUUAGAAAUCAAACUAAAUUCAAAAUCAAACCUUAGGUGGUAAAGAUAGGCACAACAAUAGGGUUGCACAGUGGAGUGGUAGUAAAGUUAGUGUCGCAUGAUGAGGUGGUAUUGAAGCUGGUGUUGCGCAGUGGGUAGGUGUCACACGAUACGGUGGUAGUGGAAUUGGUGUCAUACGGCGAAAGAAGAUGGUGUGGUGGUGGAGCGUCGUGGAGUUGGCGUUUGUUGAGCCACUGCACGAAGAGAACAACAAGGAGAACUUGUUGAGUCACAACAUAAAUAUGAGAAUGAUAGUGAGAAUGAAAGUGAAUUUUUAUUUUAUGUCUCAACUAAUUACAAACCUGUAUAAACCUAAACCUCCACAAGUUCAACUAAUUACAAACCUGUAUAAACCUAAACCUCCGCAAGUUUACUUUAUGCGGGUUUGACCACAUUAAAAUUUUGGUAAGACCACAUUAAAAUACUAUGUAUUGUAAUUACCAAACAUGGUAUUAUAACAUUAUAAUACUAUAAGGGGCUCCAAUACCAUAUACUAAGGAGUACAAACAUGCCUUAAAAGUUCAUUUGGUACUCCCCACUAUAUGAUAUUAAAGCCCCUCAUAGUAUUAAAGUAUUACAACAAAAUGAUUGGCAAUUAUAACACAUCGUAUUAGCUAAUAUUUUAAUGUGAUAGAACUUACAUAAACUAAACCUGGUGUGAAGGGCAGAGGAUUUAUGCAAGUUUGUAUUAAUUUUGGGAGAAAAUUAAAAGCCCCUCUCACUUUCCUUCUUUUCGUGUAGUGGCUCAACAAAUGCAUAAUGUUGACUUUUGUUCUCAACUCCACAACACUCCACCGCUAUGCCAUUUUAUUUCGUUGCUUGAUAGGUAACUCCACCACCACCCCACCACACAACACCCACUAUCUUCCUUGCCCUUCAUCACUUACAUCAUUGAGUUGUAGGUUUGAUUUAUGGAUUAGGGUUUGAUUUUUGAAUUUUUUUUAGAAUCAAUUUUAUUAAUGAUUGAAUUGAUUUUUGAAUUAUGGUUUAAUUUUUUUAUAUUCAAUUUUUGUCUAAUCAAUGCGCUAUUGAUUAGUUUUUGUUAUUUCAUAUGGUGAGUUUAAAGUUAAGUGCUUGAGGAUUGAGUUUAGGUUGAUGUUCAAAUGAUGUUGACUUACUGAUAACUCUAGAAAAUGAGAGUUAUUAUAUCCUUUCUAGACUUAAAUCAAUAUCACUUAGAGAUCAAAUAAGGUGUUUUUAUUAUAUUUUUGUUAUAUUUUGCAUAAACAUUUAUUUUAGUUGAGUCUUAAUAAUUUUUGCUUAAAUCAAAGUAAUUUGUGCUAAAAACAAGUGCAUAAUUGUAUGUUUUCAGAAAGUCUUGAUUCAUGAGGGGAUGUUGAGACAUUAGAUGAGCAAGAAGAGGAAAGAAGACGACCGCAAAAGAAGUAAAGCACAAUCGGGAAUAGUGUAGUGUGGUUGCGAAAGUUAGAGCAACCAGUGCUGUAGCAAUCUGGGAACAAUGCAGGAGAAAACUUAGGCGCGGGUCAGCCACAAAAUCGCAAUCUGCAUGUUUCCUAAUUUAACGCAUGCACGCCCAUGAACUUUUAUUUUUACCCUAGUUUGCAGUAUAAAAGGGAGGCGUGCACCACAUAGAAAGGCGGCAAGGGAAUUAUCAUUAGAAUAAUUACAACGGAAAGAAAAAGAAGAUCAAAAUUACAGAGUGCUGUUUCGGCAACAUUGAAGAAUCGUGCAAAAUUAUUUGGAUUUGUCUUUCAUCGUGCUCAACUUAUAAUUAUCUUCUUCUUUUAAUUGUUUUGAUGUAUCCCAUGAUCAAUAUAUUUAUGUUUAUUUUUCUCAUUCAGAAUAUGAACUAGACUUGUUUGUAGUUGAGUGACAAGUAAUCCAAUGGGGUCUUGACUGUUCUUAUGUGUUGUUAUGUCAUUGCUGUAGCAUUUUACUCUAUUAGCUUUUAUGAAUAUAACUAUUAUUUCGGUUGACCACCCAUUUGAUAGUUUCAGUUAAGAUAGAGCAGCAAAAGGGUAUGUCUUAGCGGAUAUUAUUAGAGUAUUACUUGAUCUUAAGUUAAGUUUCCUGGAUUAAGUUAUCUUGAAUCCCAUAAGGGCAAUACUUGAAGUUAAGAUUUGUGACACACUAGACAUAGGUGUUCACCUUGCAGGGUGGAGAGAUUAAAGAUCAUAACGCCAUACCAUAAGUAGAUUAGCAACUGGUCCUUGUUAAUAGAUUUAAGGGUAUGAGACUUCCAAUAUGCGAUAGCUGAGGAUGCAGAUAAAUUCUGCCCAGUGCUGCAACACUUGCCGUAACAAUUGGUGCUAACUUGAUGAAAAACAGUCAGCCUAUAAGGAGAGUUUGAUCAUUCAGCUACCAUAAUUUCAAUUGAAUCUUAGACACAUUUUAUCUAAUAUUUUAUUACGGUAUUGUUUUAUUUAAUUCUCUCAUAAUCAUCAAUCAUGAUAAAACUUAAUUUACGAUUGUUAACUUCGGCCUUAAGUUGGUUUGCACUAUUGUGAUUACUAUAGCAUUUCGAGUAGCAUCAAUCCUUGUGGAGACGAUCUUGAAUAUUCAUCACUUUAUUACUUAUUGUGUAUACUUGCACAUUGGCAUUGGUAGCAAUUGCUUAUAAAAUUAACCAACACUUACUAACCUAAAAUUUUAAUUAUUUACCUUUUUUGAAGUAAGAAUGGUCAUUAGAAGGCAAAUUGGUAGUUGGACCGAUGAGAUUGAUGCUUAAAGAGACUGAUUUACAACUAAAUAAUUUGAAAUUUUCAUGCUAAGUGUCGUUAUAAUCAUUUUCCCCAUUGUUAUCAUUCUAGUUUGCUACCCUAUAUAAGUUGUUUCAUUUAUUAUAAUUUUUAUUUUUAUUGUGAAUUAAGAGUUUGAUAUUUUAAACUACAAGAUGAUAGUUCAUCAUGAACUUUGGAACCAAGCAACUAUAAACCAUCUCUAAGAUUCUACUAGAAACUACUGCAGUACACUUGAUAAACCAAUUGACAAAAAAAUUGAAACUCACCAAUAAAAAAUUUAAUAGAAGUAGGAAGUGAUCGGCAUUAAAGGCCUGGAUUAACAAUAAUUGGUUUAGUUACAAAAUACAUGCCCUUUCCCCAAUUUCAAUUUCAUUGGCUUUGUCAAACUUCUCGUGUUCAUAUAAAAUUCUUAGAGAUGUUUGAAAUGUCAAAAGACAACAAAAGCUGUACUUGUCUAUAUGAAACUUGAAAUGUACCUAUAAAGUCUUUUUCCUUUAUGUUAAAAGGAUGCUAAUUUUUUUGAAAUAUUCAAGGGAUCCAUAAAAAUUUUAACCCUUUACUUUUGCAUACAAUUUGGGAGAUUUAUAUAGAUUUUAAAGUUAUGAAAACUUUGGUUUGAAUUUUGAAUGAAUAAUGUUAUUAUAGACAUUAAGCAUGUCGCAGGAUACUGAAAUAUUACUACGCGUUAUUACUAGUCGAUGGGAAAAUGCUAAUGGCUGGUAUGGUGAUUAAUAGAGUUGGUCAAACAUGUCAUCAAUUCAUGUUCGUGUUGUAUUAGCUUUGUGUCGUGUCAAAUUUAGGUCACCCCAAACAUGACCCAUUUAAUAAUCAUGUUAAAAUAUUGAGAUCCUAACCCAACACGAAAAUUAAAUGUGUUACCUAAUAACGCGCUUAAUAUCUAUAUAUUUAACAAAAUGUAAUGUGUGUGUAUAUAUAUAUAUAUAAUUUAUUGAUAUUAUAAAAUAUACAUGUCUAUCAAAAUAUUGCACAUUUACACUAUUGAAGUUUUAGUUAUAUAUAAUAUUAUAUAUCGAUAUUAUAAAAUAUAUAUGACUACUAAUAUUUUAUAUAUUUAUACCAUUGUAGCUCUAAAUCUAAAUAAAAUUUUGUAAAUGAAUGUGCAUAUGUUCAUCCUUACAAAAAAAGAAGAAUGAGAAAAUCAUGUCUAUUAUUGAAGUUUUGAUGACACAAACCUACAAAUUAAUUUGGAAUAAAAAAUAUAGUUGCAUCAUUAAUCAAUAGAUGGGCCAAGGACUUUAACUUUAACUUGACACGAAAAAAGAAUCGUGUCGACCCGGACUUGACUCAUUUAAUAAUCGUGUCAAAUUUAACGAUUUAUACAUAUUUAGUUGUGUCAUGUUCGUGUCGAAUAAUCAAAUCUUUUGAAAAUUUGUCACCUUUAAUGAUUACAACAACCUCUUAAGCUAGGACAAGCAGAGAAUUCAAAAGCAGGACAAAUAAUUCAGUGUUUUCUUAAAUUCAAAUUAUUGUGCAUAUAAUUUCUCAACUUUUCAAUUAUAUAAAAAUAAGUGCAACUUAUUUGGGAAACUUAUUCACUACAAGAAAAACGAGCUUUAGUGAUACUUGUCCUCGGACACUUAGAUAAAAUGUAUUAGCAUAUACAUACAGUUGGGCCAUUGCCUAUGUCUAAUUGACAAAUAUCACAAAUUGCUAAUGCGAUAGUGUCUGUAAAUUAAACAUUAGUGAUCCAUGACAUUAAGGUAUCACUAUUAAAAGAUUAAUAACUUUUGUUCUAUUUUAGUCUGAAUUCUAAUUCAACGCCUUUAUGACUUAACUGCUUAAGUUCAAAAAAAAAGAAACUAUUGAGAUACAAUUUUUAUUUUAAUAAUUAUGAAAAAUAAAAAAAAUCAAAACAAAUGCAUAGCCAAAUCAGCUUUAACCUAAAUUUCUUAAACUUCUAUUUCUAAACUCACCACCAUCCUUUCUUAACUCUCUAAAAGUUAAGAUUAAUACAAAACCUAGCUGCGUAAAUCUUGUAGGAUAAAAAUCAUAGUUGAACUCUCUGACUCAAUUUUCUAUAGCCACCAACUGAUUAAAUUUUAGGAGGCCACAUAAUCUUUGUGAAAGUUGUUGCAGACUAGCCAGCUAUUGAACCAGCUAUGAAGCUAUCAGAGUUGCCACAAGUUGCCACUAAAAUAUGAGCAGGCUAUUAACCUCGAUCCACCAUAGUUGUUGUUGUGCAAAUUUUUAGUAUACUCGCAAGUGCACGAAUCUUUAGAAAUAGAAUAGUGGUAAUAAGGUCGAACUCACAAGGAUUGCUAAAAGUUGGAAAGUCUAAUUUAAGUGUAAAAUUAAUGUUAAUCCUAACCUAGUUAAGCAAAUUAAGUUUUAAGAGAAUUUAAACUAAUUAGACUAAGAAAACAUCAAAUCAAAAGAGAUUUCAAUAAGGCAAAGGUUUACCAAGGUUUCAAAAUCCAUCAAUAUUCAAUUAGUAAUUAUUUAAUUAUCAAUUAAUCUCCAAUUUUUGAGUGACAACUCGAAAUCAGUUUAUGUCAUCUCAUAGAUAUAACAAUUAACCUAAAGUAAUUAAAUCUAAUGUAGAUUCUUUUUCACUUCAGGGGAGCAUUUAUAAGCAUUAGAUGUAUCGUAUUGAAAAAUAAAGAAUCAAAGUUUCCUAAACAUUUUACGUAUCCAACUUAUUGAAAAAUAAAUAAUCAAUGAGAUCACAUUAAUCAUUAUUUCAUCAAGUUUAAAUUAGUCAAAUAAUCUCUUAACUAUCUAGAAUAAAUGAUAAGAUGAAAAAGAUAAUUAUUCAAUUAAUCAUGUAAAAGAAGAACCAUAAUCAUCAAACAAGAUAUGUAAAGGAUUGAUUAAAUAAAAAGAUAAAUAUUUAAUUAAAUAGAGUUUCGUCAUUAACCUCAAUAUAAGAAAAUUAACUAGACGUAUAUUGAGUGCUGGAGAAUGUAUAUUUAUAUAGGGUAAAAUUGUUAUUUUAUUCUCCAAAGUCUCACUAACAUUUUCACUUUUACGUUUUUAAAUCUUUUAAGCUUUUAUUAGGUGUGUUUUAUUAUAAUUUAAGUAUUUUAUGGAUAUUUUGUCCAUUUCACGACUAACAAGAAGUUAGACAGUGAAAUGAAUGGUAUUUUUGAACUUAGGAUGGUCGAAAACCUUAGAAGGAACAUAAAAAAAUAUUGGGUAUUGUUCACAUAUACGAUAUUGUUUAAGUAUACGGCACUGUUCACAUAUAUGGUCCAAUGACGUGGCAUUGAAUGAUGACAUGUCAACAUCUUAUUGGACCAAUGAUGUGGCAUUGACUAAUGAUGUGGCAAGAUACUAUUGAACCAAAAUACUGAUUUGGCGUUGACCGAUGACGUGACAACAUCUUAUUAGACUGAAAUGCUUAUGUGGUGUUGACUCAUGAUGUGUUCCAACCAAUCAAAGCUUGCCACGUGGUACUAUCUUGAGCGUGCGAAUUAUUUUCAUUUAAUGCCCAUGAUUUAUCAAUUGUAUCUAUAAAUAGAGGGCUCUCCCCUAAUUUGACACCCUUGAAUUUCUUUUUGAACUCUAUUUUCUAUAAUUCUCCCUCCAUAUUGUAUUUUCUACGUAUUUUAAUAAAAUUACCAUUUUACCCUUAGUUCAAUUAUGAGUGGCUAAUUUAGUUUCAACCUUAGGUUGAAGGUGAAACCUCAACAUGAUUCAAGGGCUUAAUUAGGUAAGUUUAUUUUAUUUUCUUCUUUGAUUUAUAUGGCUUUUUUGACUCAUUGUCGAUAGACAGUGUAUCAUGUCUAGAUUUUACAUGGUAUACCGGCUCCUUAUUGAAGGAUCGUUACUAUCUGGGACAAUGAAAGCUUAACACCAUAUUAAUUAGAGAGAAAAUUUCCCUCUAGUAUUUUGUAAGUCGUCUUGACUCAGUGUCGACAAGGAGUGUAUCUAAGUAUUUUAGUGGAUGGUCUUCCCACAUUGUCGACAGAAGGAUUGUUAUCGUCUGGCAUAACGUGUUUUUUACACCACAUUUAGUGGAAGAUCAUUACCUCUGGCACACUGAGCGCUUGACCAUUGAGAAAGGUAAAUUCUCAAGUCAGCCAGUGCCCAAUCUUAAAGGAAAACAUAAAGUGAAUACAAGUUUAUCCUAGCAUCAUGAAGAAGUCAAAGUCGUUAUGACCUUGCGAAAAAGGCAAAGAAGUGGACAAAAAACAUACCGGUGACAAAGACAACUCUAGAAUCUGAAGACCUAUCAACAAAAGAGAAAGAAGAUAACAGCCCACGAGAAUAUAUUAUUGAGUGUUAGAAAAUGUAUAUUUAUAAAGGAGAAAAUCGUCAUUUUACACUUCAAGUUUUACUAACACCCUUACUUUUAUGUAUUUAAGCUUCUUGUCAUUUAAUUAUAUGUGUUGUAUUAUAAUUAAGUAUUUUAUGUAUUUUAGGGGCAUCAUAGUCAUUUCACAAUGAACGAGAGAUUAGACGGCAAAACAGACAUCACUUUUGAACUCAGGACGGUCGAAAACCUUAGGAGGAGCAGAAAAGGAAAAAUGGCAUUGUUCACAUGUACGGUACUAUUCACAUGUACGGUACUGUCUACGUUACUGUUCACGACACUGUUCACAUAGACGGAUUGAUGAUGUGGCAUUGACCGAUGAUGUGGCAUUGACUGAUGAGGUGUCACGAUCCUGUUGGACUAAAAUUCUUAUACACUGUUGAUUGAUGACGUGGCAGCAUAUCAGUGGACCAAAAAUCUCGCGUACGGUACAUGCAUUACACAUGAUUAUUUUCAACCAAACCGCGUCACUGUUCAAGCCGGGUCAAACCGUGUUACUGUUCAAACCGCGUGGUCAAGCCGUGUACAGUUGACUGAUGACGUGGCACAAUCUUGAGCGUCCAAACUGUUUUUAAUUCGAUGGCCACGAUUUACUCAAUGUAUCUAUAAAAAUGAGGCCUCCCCCCCUAAUUGGAUAGCUCUGAAUCCAUUUUUGGACUCCAUUUUCUGUAAUUCCCUCUCCAUCUUAUAUUUUCUAUGUAUUUUAAUAAAUUUUCAUUUUGCCCCUAGUUCAAUUAUGAGUAGCUAAUUUUCUUUCAAGCUUGGGUUGAAGGUAAAGUCUCAACAUGUGUCAUGGACUUUAUUUGGUAAAUUUAUUUUCUUUUCCCCUAUAAUUUUUGUGGAUGUUUUGACUUCUCGUCGAUAAAUAAUAAUAAUCUUGUCUAGAUACCACAUUGGUUUCACCGGCUCUCUAGUACAAGGUUAUUAUUAUUUGUCACGAUAAACCAUUAGCACCAUAUUGAUUAGAGUGUGGUUCAUGAGGUGUGGAUUCCCCCUUCUUGAUUUAAUUGGCAUUAAUAAUAAAUAUUUAGCCCAUGGUGCAUGUUGAUACGGAUCCAGAUACCCAAGUACGUCAUUUCAAUAGAUUUCACUUCAAUUUAUUCUCGCAUUUUCAAUUCCAAUUUUAAAAUAAUCUAAGUUACAUUCACCACAAAUCCAACCACCCUCAUACAAAAUUAAUUCUACAUAUAAUUAAAAUCCACCUCCUCGUGGGAUCGACACUCGUCACCAUUAAUCUAUUCUACAAUAGAUUCGUGUAUUUGCGAGUUCAAUAAAACUUGCACAAUAAGUUUUUGGCGCCGUUGCCGGGGAGGUAAGUUAUUUUAAUUCGUAAAAUUAAUUUUUGUGAAUAAUUUUUUUAUUUGUUUUCUUGUAUUUUUUUAUUAUUAAAAAAAAGAAAAAAAAGUGAAUCUGCAUUUAGAGGUAAUAAUUUCUUUCUUUCUCUAUUCUUUACAAUUCUGUAAUUUAAUUUUUAAGUUAUUUUUCUUUGUAAUUUUUGUUUAUCUUAUUAAUUUAAUUUUUAGUCAAUUUAUUGCAUGAAUUUUUUAUUGUGUUUUUAUAGAAAGGUUUUAACAGUGUAAUAAGGUUAGUACCGUAAUUUCUCAUUCUUCUUUAUUUUUAUUUGUUUUGUUCCCAUUUAUCUUUUGUUCUUUGCAUGCAUGGUCGUAGGUCAUUAUUACCUAAUCUUGAACCUAUAGACCUUGAACUUGAGAAAACACUUCGCACACACAAACAAGUUAAAAAUAAAAUGGAUUUGCAACCACAAGAGAGGCCAUUUAAGGACUACUUUAGUCCUUUAGCUAAUUUGAGCACAUCAUGCAUAAGAUACCCAAAUGUAAAAGUUUUGAAUAAAUAUUUCCCAGUGCAUAAAACUAAUGCUAUUCAUAGGGAAAUUUCAGAGUUUACCUAGAGAGAAGACGAGCAGUUUUUCAAAACAUGGGAGCGAUUCAAUGGGCUACUCUUGAAGUGUCCACAUUAUGGGUACGAGAAAUGGCACCAAUGCCAAUAAUUUUUGGAGGGAUUAUUGCCGAAUGUGCAAGAAUGGCUAAUGGCAACAAGUGGAGAAGAGCUAAUGUCAAAAAGUGCAUUAGAGAUUUAGGAAUUUUUCCAGCGACAAGCAGAUAAUUUCCAACAACGGAGUCGGUCGCUCAGGAAUACUAAAAGAAUUAAAGGAGUGAAUGAGGUUCACAUUGGCGAGUCAACGUUGAGAAUCAAAGAAGUUAAGGAGAUGGUUAAAGGUCUCGCUUGACAAAUAGCAUCGUUAUCAACUGCUAAAUCAACAGAGCCACAUGACCAUGACUCAUACUCAAAUCAAGCCAAUGCCAUAGGUGUAAUGAGAAAACUAUCAAAUUACAACCCAUACUCCAACACAUAUAACCUUGGAUGGAGAGACCACCGCAAUUUUUCAUGGUCUCAAGAAUUCCAACAGAAUGGACCAGUAGCUCUAGCUCCACCAAUGCAACCAAUUCCUCAAGCCUCUCAGCCCCCAUUUAGACCAUUCAAUUAGAACCAGAACUACUCUCAACCCAGACCAUGGGAGGAUGCAUUCUAGAAUUUCAAGAAUGUUACUCACUCUGCGAUUGAGUAACAGAACCGCACCAUUGAUGGACUACGAAAUGAGUUGAGAGCCGGCUUCAACUCACAGGCCUAAUCAGUUUCAAGCCUCGAAAAGAUGGCGGGACAACUUGCUUCUUUAGUUCAGACCUUGGCAAUGACUGUUGAGAAAGGUAAGUUUCCAAGUCAACCAGUGCCUAAUCCUAAGGGAGUGCAUGAAGCAAGUACCAGUUCACCACAGCAGCAUGGAGAGGUCAAAGCAGUCAUGACCUUGCGAAAAGGAAAAGAAGUCGAUAAUAAAAUGGAGAUACCGGUGACAAAAGAAAAUCAAAUUGUACCUGUGAAUGUUGAGGACUCACCAUCGGAGGAGAAAGAAGAAACUAACCCACGAGAAUACGUUCCCAAAGCUCCAUUUCCUCAGAGGUUAGCUAAAGGAAAGAAGGAAAAAUCCACAGGUGAGAUUCUUGAAAUCUUCAAAUAGGUAAGUGUUAACAUUCCUUUGUUUGAUGCUAUUAAAUAAGUUCCAUCUUAUACCAAGUUUUUUAAAGAUCUUUGCACUAAAAAGAGAAACAUUUACGUUCAAAAGAAGGCAUUUUUAACAGAAAAUGUUAGUUCUAUACUCCAACAUAAAAUUCCUCUAAAAUGCAAAGACACAGGCUUCCUCACUAUCUCAUGUAGUAUAGGGAACUACACAAUUGAGAAUGUUUUGUUGGAUUUAGGAGCUAUUAUAAAUCUGUUGCCUUACUCAGUAUUUUUGAAACUUGGUCUUAGAGAAUUACACCCAACUCUAGUAGUGUUACAGCUUACAGAUUGGUCCACGAAAAUACCUCGUAGUAUUGUGGAGGAUGUGCUUAUCCAGGUAGACAAGUUUUAUUUUCCUGUUGAUUUCAUUGUAAUUGACAUUCAACCAAUACAGGAUUCAAGGAAGCACAUCCCCAUUAUUUUAGGCCGACCUUUCUUGGCAACUGCGAAUGCUCACAUUCAAUGCAGGACUGGAAAUAUGUAGUUGUCCUUCGGCAACAUGACUAUGGAGCUGAACAUCUUCAACAUUACCAAACAACCUCCCAAAAAGUCAGGAGUCACAGUAGUUACCAAUGCUAAUAAUGAAUUUAUACCCACUAGAGUAACUACAUGAUGACGUGUAUGCAUUGAUUAUAGAAAGUUAAAUUCUGUCACAUGUAAAGACCAUUUUCCUUUACCAUUUAUUGAUCAAAUGCUUGAUAGAUUAGCAAGCCAUGAAUUUUAUUGCUUUUUAAAUGGUUACUCAGGAUAUAAUCAGAUUCUCAUAGCACCAAAAGAUCAAGAGAAAACCACUUUCACUUGCCAUGAAAGUAAAAUUCAGAAUAUCCUUUCAUUCUGCCAUGAACAAGCUUGUGGAGGCUAUUUCAGUGCUAAGAAAACAGCUACUAAGGUUUUACAAUGUGGUUUCUAUUGGCCAACUAUAUUUCGAGACGCUUACACUUUCUGUUCUUCAUGUGAUAGGUGUUAACGAAUGGGGAGCAUUACACGAAGGAACAUGAUGCCACUAAAUCCAAUUUCAGUGGUUGAGAUUUUUUACGUAUGGGUUAUCGACUUCAUGGGACCCUUUCCCCCUUCUUUUGGCCAUCAAUACAUAUUGGUUGCUAUUGAUUAUGUAUCGAAAUGGGUAGAAGCAAUUCCAUGUAGAACCAAUGAUCACAAGGUGGUGAUAGGAUUUUUGAAAAGCAACAUUGUUUCACGCUUUAGAUUUCCUCGAGCGAUAAUCAGUAAUGGUGGUGCCCACUUUUGUAACAAAGCAUUCAAAGCUCUUUUGACAAAGUAUUCAACCACUCACAAAGUGGCGACCCUUUAUCAUUCGCAAACCAGUGGCCAAGUUGAGAUCUCCAAUCAAGAAAUAAAGCACAUAUUAGAAAAAACAUUAAGGCCAGACAAAAAAGAUUGGUCAUUAAGACUUGAUGAUGCAUUAUGGGCAGAUAGAACGGCUUUCAAGACCUCGAUUGGGAUGUCGACCUACAGGCUAGUGUAUGGAAAAGCUUGCCACCUACCUGUGGAACUCGAGCAUCGUGCAUACUAGGCCAUCAAGAAAUUCAACUUUGACAUGCAGUAAGCUAGCUCAGAAAGAAGAUUACAACUGGCAGAACUUGAAGAAAUUCGCAAUGAUGCAUAUGAAAAUGCCAAGAUUUACAAGCAGCGAAUGAAAGUCUUUCAUGACAAGCAAAUUAUGAGAAAAUCUUUUACUCCAGGUCAGAAUAUGCUUUUAUUCAAUUCUCGCUUGCACCUAUUCCCAGGUAAGUUACGCUCUCGAUGGUCUGGUCACUUUAUUGUUCACACUGUUUUUCCACAUGGGGCAGUUGAAAUUAAGGACCCAAAGAACGGUGUCACGUUUAAACUUAAUGGUCAAAGAUUAAAGCCAUAUCUAGAGUACCAACCACAUGGAGAGGACACCGAAAUAAAUUUGAGUGACCCACCAGAUUUAAAUUGAGUUUUUUUUUCUUUCUUUUCGGUGAUUUGAUUUGAUUUUUUUUCUUUCUUUUUAUUAUUCUUUUGCUAAUUGAAAUUAUUUUUGCAUAAGUGUGUUUGUUUAACCAUUAAGUUUUCUCUUAUCAUUGUUAAUCAUGAGUACCAUAGUUAAACAGUUCCUCCUGAA
rnacentral:lncRNA from 1 species